rnacentral:rRNA from 1 species
AGCAGCCGCGGUAAUUCCAGCUCCAAUAGCGUAUAUUAAAGUUGUUGCAGUUAAAAAGCUCGUAGUUGAAUUUCGGGGUCAGCAGGUUGGUCGUGCCACUGGUAUGUACUGGUCUCGCUGAUUCCUCCCUCUUGUAGAACCGUAAUGCCAUUAAGUUGGUGUUGCGGGGAAACAGGACUGUUACUUUGAAAAAUUAGAGUGUUUAAAGCAGGCUAACGCUUGAAUACAUUAGCAUGGAAUAAUGAAAUAGGACGAUCGAUCCUAUUUUGUUGGUUUCUAGGGUUGACGUAAUGAUUAAUAGGGAUAGUUGGGGGCAUUAGUAUUCAAUUGUCAGAGGUGAAAUUCUUGGAUUUAUUGAAGACUAACUACUGCGAAAGCAUUUGCCAAGGAUGUUUUCAUUAAUACAAGAACGAAAGUUAAGGGGAUCGAAAGACGAUCAGAUACCGUCGUAGUCUUAACCAUAAACUAUAGCCGACUAGGGAUCGGAUG